rnacentral:rRNA from 1 species
UACGUAGGGUGCAAGCGUUGUCCGGAAUUAUUGGGCGUAAAGAGCGUGUAGGCGGCCCGAUUAGUCCGCUGUGAAAGUCCAGGGCUCAACCCUGGAAUGCCGGUGGAUACUGUCGGGCUAGAGUCCGGAAGGGGCGAGUGGAAUUCCUGGUGUAGCGGUGAAAUGCGCAGAUAUCAGGAGGAACACCGAUUGCGAAGGCAGCUCGCUGGGACGUUACUGACGCUGAGACGCGAAAGCGUGGGGAGCAAACAGG